ensembl:ncRNA lncRNA:CR32218 long non-coding RNA:CR32218
UAGCAGAUACCUUUUGUACGUUGAUUAAGAUACCUUGGCACACACAGACGCACUACAAAAGAAGAGAAGGCAGCUAAAAACUGCACUUAAAAAACACAUAAAAUAAUAAGAAGUCAACUCGAUUAAUUCAGAACAGUUCUCCAAAUGAAUGUACAACAAAAUCCACUUGACCAAAAAUGUCUUGAGUAAAAGUGUCGCAUACGCGUAAAGCGUACGUAUAAUAUAGAAAUAGAUAUAUGUAUUCGUGUGUGUCCGCCAGCCAAUACAAAAGCAGCACAAAAAGUGGUUAAAAGGCAUUAAAAUCAAACAAUAUUUAAAGUGCUGAAAAUUAGUGUGCGUGUGCAAAGAAAGAUUUAAGUGUACAAGCAUACCUGCGUCUGUGCACACUGCGAUACGCCAAAUCGUACUUAUGUAUCUAUGCGCAACUAAAAAAUAUAAUAAGCAGAGUCAGUGCCAAUAAAAUAUAUAAAAAUCACCGUACAAACACAGAUGAUUUUUAGCGAAAAAGCGAAAAGGAAAAAGAUCAAGCAGCAGCAACAACAAAAAUAACAACAACAGCAAGAGUCGCAGAGAAGCCAAUCAAACCAGCAGUUGUCUCGCUUCAACGCGCUCGUUACGAUCACCGUAUGAGCAAGUGAGAGAGCGUAAGGCCAGUCACGGACGUGUGCGAGCGGAGCGGAGCAUUGAUUUGCUGUCUUUGAUUUUGCUUAUGACCUGAGGUGCUCUCUUACAUACAUAUAAACGCCAUCAUCCAGGCAGACAGUAGGCGAGUGUAAGCGAGAGAGAAAGAGCAUGCGACACACAUACGCACACACAUUGACACCUGGCGCAGGAGUCGCGGCUUGCGGCACUUUCAAAUAAAUUAAAAAAUAGCAACAAAACCAACAGGGAGAGAGGCGAAUAGAGCAGUAAGCCUUCCCCCAGCUUCCUCGCUCAGUAGUAACAUUAGUAAGAGCAACAAAAACAGGGACAAGAGAGCAAAAAUACAUGCCUACCUUAACCCAAUUAAAAUACCAUAUUAUUUAACAAAAGAAAUUGUGUUAUUUGCAAGCAACCCAUACAAAGAGAGCGAUCGAGCGAGCAAAAGAGAGAGAGAGAGAGUAUUUGACUUUUUGAAAGUGUAAAAUUUAAAAAUUGUUGCCUUUGCCAUACGGAAGUGAAAUUCUUACAUUCGUC